rnacentral:rRNA from 1 species
GCUAAUCCUGGUCGGACAUCAGGAGGUUAGUGCAAUGGCAUAAGCCAGCUUGACUGCGAGCGUGACGGCGCGAGCAGGUGCGAAAGCAGGUCAUAGUGAUCCGGUGGUUCUGAAUGGAAGGGCCAUCGCUCAACGGAUAAAAGGUACUCCGGGGAUAACAGGCUGAUACCGCCCAAGAGUUCAUAUCGACGGCGGUGUUUGGCACCUCGAUGUCGGCUCAUCACAUCCUGGGGCUGAAGUAGGUCCCAAGGGUAUGGCUGUUCGCCAUUUAAAGUGGUACGCGAGCUGGGUUUAGAACGUCGUGAGACAGUUCGGUCCCUAUCUGCCGUGGGCGCUGGAGAACUGAGGGGGGCUGCUCCUAGUACGAGAGGACCGGAGUGGACGCAUCACUGGUGUUCGGGUUGUCAUGCCAAUGGCACUGCCCGGUAGCUAAAUGCGGAAGAGAUAAGUGCUGAAAGCAUCUAAGCACGAAACUUGCCCCGAGAUGAGUUCUCCCUGAGACUUUAGGUCUCCUGAAGGAACGUUGAAGACGACGACGUUGAUAGGCCGGGUGUGUAAGCGCAGCGAUGCGUUGAGCUAACCGGUACUAAUGAACCGUGAGGCUUAACCUUACAACGCCGAA